AGCGCGACCGGGUCCACGCCCCUGGUCACCACCAGGUAGUCGCGAAUCACGGUGCUGUGGCGCAUCUC
rnacentral:sRNA from 1 species